UUAAAAACCUUUUUUUUACAAACCUAAAGAAAAUAAAAAAAAGGAAAGAAACUUUCCAUCUUUUUCGUGAGAACCCCUAGCCGCCAGCUCUGAGAGGAGUGCGUGCAAUCACUUCGCUGCUAUUCGCGUCCGUCGCCGGCCUCGAAACGUUCUGCAAUUCGUCCCAGGUACAGUCGUCCUCAACUGUUCGGGUCGUGGGUCAGACGCCGGCUAGCUAGCAGUCAUGUUCGUUCGUGGGUUUCGAUUGACGCUCGCCUCAAUCGUCGCCCAUCGACGAUCUUAAAAAAAUUGCAGACCUUCUCCCCUAGGUUUUCUUCUUCAAGCAGCUGUCGCCUUCACGUAACGUUUAGGUUUUCUUCUUCAAACAGCCGGUGCCAGCUACUGUUGCUGGAACUCGCGCCGCCGUUAAUGCCUAGCCGCCAGAUUUGAAGUCGUGCCAGCCACCGCCCAGUGCACUAGUCUGUUCCUCUUCCAACAAUUGGAUCAACAUUCAAGAAGGAUGAUUGGGAGUGUUAGGAUGCUGGAUGGUUUCUACUACAUUGAUGAAGGUAUCAUGCACCGAGGAGGUAGAACCAAGAAAUCGAAGAUAAAUGGGGCUAAUUUGAAGCAAUUUGGAGGUGAUUUGAGUAGUCAGGCUUGAAAACAGUGAAAAUUACGAAAUUAUCACUGCACUGUCACAACGUUGCAACGCUCUACCCUGACACUCUAAGGUAGAAUGUGUAGCAUUGUAAUGCUCCAAAUUUGCGUAACGUCAGCGUUAGCAUUGCGGCGAUGCGAUCUUUCCUAUAAAUACUUCCCUUCGUCUUUAGGUCAAAAUAUGCCAAAUCUGGGAGGCUAAAUUGAUGGAGGUCGAAGUAAAACUCGUUCCUUCGUUCAUUCCCUUCAAUUUUCGGUAUCUUUAAGUUAGUUUUGAUUUUUAUUUUGGGUUAUAAUCAAUGGA